GCCUGGAUUGCUCGGUUGGUUAGAGCGUGAUGCUGAUAACAACAAGGUUGCAGGUUUGAUCCCCGUAUAUUCCUGCAUUGCAGAUG